GUUUUUUGUUUUUUUUGUUUUUUUUCAAAUCUGGGAAUUGAAUAUAAAUUAGUUUUGAAUUUCUUGGUUGGAUUGGUUUAGAUUUAGAUUUUUUAAUAAUUUACUCAGGAAUUUGGAUUAGAAUAGGUUCUGUUUUACCUAUUUGGGUUGCAUUCGUUUUGGGUAUCUGCCUACAUGCAUGGCAUUUCAUUCAUGGUUUUUUUUUAAUUUUUUAAUUUUUUUUAUAAUUUAUAUAUAUUUCAUUACCUCUUCGAUAUAUUUUGGUUUCCUAUGUUCUCUUUUUUCGUUUUUGUAAAGUUAUUUAAGUGCAUUUUUUAAUAAUAAAAAAAAAAAAAAAAGUUUUUCCUGCAGUUGUCGAUAAAGGCUAUGGCAUUCACUUAUCACAGUGAUUGAGGUAUAAAAUGCGUUAGAAUGAGUACCAAAAUUAAAGGUAAGUUUUUACAAAUUUUCCCCAUUAUUUUCCCAGUUCUUAAUUUAUACUUCUGUUAACAAGUGGUUGAUUUUGUAUUUACAUUUAAAAACACCGAAACAUUGUCACUUUUUGUUUGGUGCAUUAAGGAAACGUUUCAAUGAUAUUUUUCACAUUUUAAUGUUCAGUUUCUCUGAUAGGCACCUCUUCUUUCUCCCACCAUUUCCCCCCCCCCCCCCCUAAUUUAAAUGGUUAAUUUGACAUGCUUACUAUUUUUUUUUUAAUCUCUAUUUUCUGUUAUUAAUUGUUGUGUUUGGUUUUGGGGACACAACUUCAAAGCAUAAAAACCUAGAACCAUCUGAAAACCAAAACUGCAAGUUGCUUUUUAUUUUCGUUUUACUUUUUGCUUCCAAUUUGUGUUUUGUGUUUUCUUUAUUUCGUAUAUUUCUUUCUCUUUUGGCUUUCACUUUUCAGGAAACAGAGGUUUCUUCUCACGAAACCUUGCAGCAAGUUGUUCUCACAGGUCCAACACAGAUUCUGAUGGGUACCUCUCAUUUCUUUCAAGACUUUGUUUGCUCAAGUAAUCAAUUUUAUUGCUCUCCUAACUCAUUAUUAUUCUCAACUUUAUUCCCAUCAUCUAUUAGAGUUUCAAUUUUCAUUUGAUUUGGAAUUUGUUCUUCUUAGAUUGAAAUUGCUAAUUUAUGCCCAAUAUAUUUAGAAUGGGAAUUUAAUCUUAAGUUAAUUAAUAUGCACAUGAAUAUUGUCCAGGAAACUUUGGUUAGAUAUGGGCUCAAAUUGCAAAUUUGAAAGUACUAAUACAUACGUGUUUAGGAAGUUUUUUUUGUCAAUGAUUCAUUAAGUGUAGUUUCUUUUACAUGUACACAAGCUGUUUGAUAAAAUUCUUAAGUGAUGUUUGUUGGCCUUUUUUAUUCUCUUCCCCAGUGAUGAUUAGCCCAAAGCACCGACUCCUUCAAGGUGGGUGACAACUUUCAUUGUGAUUUGAUGGUUGGGUUGUGUACAUGAAAGCUUCUUAGAGAGCAACUUGGCUAUUGCUGGUGGCAGUGUAUAGUUAACGAGGAAGGAUUGUCAAGAGUUUGUCUAAAAUUUCCCACAGCCAAGGUGGGAUGCAAAAUUGGGUUUGGAUACAUAGCUUGAGGUCAUUCACAGUGAAAGCUCCUACCUAUGCCUUGGAAUUUUUUUAAGAGCAUGCUCUAUAAGUACUUUUAUUCUGUUUUGAGAUGAUUAAAGCUUUAUCAUAAUUAUCUCAUUGGAAUUUUGGCAUGGUUAAAAAAAGGGGCAGCAAGGUAUAUAUAUGUGCACAUGCAUAAAUAUUUGUAUGUAUCAGUCCUGCCAAUUUGUAGUAAAGAAUUAUUAUCUUCAACUAUAAGAUUUAAAAUAUAUAUAAAUAUAUAUAUAUAUAUAUAUAUAUACAUAUUGUUUCUUUAGCCAAUCUAAUUAUUUUGGUUUUGAUGUAAUAAUAUUAUUCUUAUUUUUCUUUUUGGAAGGCAUAACAAAUCGAAGAUAUACUAUAUGAUAGUAGGUCUAGAACAAAACUAAAAAAUUAAACUAAAAUCAAAGUAGAAAUUUAUUCAUAUAUAUAUAUAUAUAUAUAUAUUGUUUUGCUUUCAAAUUUGGCUAAAUUAAUAAUGUCUAUCAUGUGUUGGAUGGAAUUCAUGAUAUAUGUAAUGGUUAGUGGAACUCAUUCGCUGUUUCAUAUAUCAAUGUUUGGUGUUUUUAAAAUAGGCAAAUACUUCCAUUCUUCAUAUUUUUAUAAUAGGUAUUGAUGCCUACAACGUCCCAUUAAAGAUUAUGCCACUUAGUUUAGUGUUUUGAAGUGCAUUGUUUUCCCAUAACGUUGUACUGUAACAAGAAUAACUCAAGAUGUUGGUUACUGUGUCUUUUAUAUCACAAAGGUGUAACAAUGUAUAUUUUCUUUAUUUGUAAGCAGUCAAUUUACGUAUUUGCAAGCAAAUUUAGUAAGGACAAGUGAAAUGAUUUGUUUUUGGUAAUGUAGUUGAGAAGAUUUUGGAUUCAUAAAUCAACCCUUUUUU